AUGGCUGGUAAAAUUAAUAGCUUUGCCCCCAACCUGUCAUCCCAGGCUUCCAGAUUCUGGAAAGGCAUUAAAUCUACUAUCCAAGCACUGAAAUUUGGAUACAGAUGGAAAAUUGGGUCAGGUGCAAAAGUCAGAUUCUGGGAGGACACCUGGUUUGGUACCUCCCCCCUGUCUGUGCAGUUCUGGCCUAUUUACUUCAUUUGUAAUGAACAGACUAAAAGUGUUUGUGAGGUUUGGGAUGAGAAUCAACUCAAACUAACUUUUAGAAGAAACUUCGAUGACACCCUCAUGGAGCAAUGGCACCAGCUGGUUGAGAUUGCUCGAAGUGUGACCCUUACCGAUGAUACAGAUGCUUUGAUCUGGCAGCUAGAUAAUAAAGGAAUUUACUCCACUAGUUCGCUUUAUCAUGUUAUCAACUUUAGGGGGGGUGCAGCCAGUCUAUAUUCCAGCUGUUUGGAAGCUUAG
rnacentral:rRNA from 1 species